GGAAGGCGAUGUUCUAUGAUUAUUUAUUGGGACACUUCACGCUACCGCAUAGCGUGGGAAUUUUGGUUUGUAUAUCAGCGCACUCUCCAGAUUACCAGUUUCUCCAAAAUUCAGGGCAGAGUAUUUCUCCCAACUUCGCGACUUUGGAAAUUAGGCAUUUCUGAAAAAGUCUUUCUUUAUUUGGGUGGUGUUGAGGAAGGACAUUGGCAAGCUUAAUCUAUUGAUCAUUAUUCGGAAGGAACAAGAUAGUGAUUCUCCCAGAUUGUGACUCUUAUACACCUAACUGGUGAUGUCCUUCUCGGUUCUGUAGAAGUGUUUAGUAUCGCCAUGACACUUAAUUAGAUAACUUUUGUUGGAAGGCCAUUCUCAUAAUACUGGAUUAAUUCCUCUGUGAUAUGGGACAUUUUGCGAACUUUAUUACUUCGCAAUCCUGUGUUUUUUGCCCUAUCCAAAGCCAUUCACUUUUAUUUCAAUUAUCAUCAAGUUAGCUUUUGCAGUCUGCGUCUGAUUCGGAACUUCCAAAUCUCUGUCUGGGUAUUGCUAAUUAUUAUUUUUCCCCGUAAAGAUGAAUUAUAUAAGAGAUAUUUCUUUGCUAAAGUUGAAACAUUACGCUCUAUACGAGACUCUCAAACUCUGCCAGUGCCAUCAAUACCUCCAGUGCCGAGGCAUAGUGAAGGUCCGGCUCAAGUGGGUGAAAAACCGAAGUAUUGAUCACAUAAUUGACAAGGAAACGGAUUUGAAGGCUGCUUGUCUCCUAAAGGACGCGAUUAAGCGCUCGUCCACUGGUUUUCUCACAGCAAAAUCUGUAGCUGACUGGCAAAAAAUGCUUGGCCUUACAGUCCCGGUUCUUCGUUUCAUGCGUAGGUACCCCACUCUCUUUGAUGAAUUUCCACAUCCUCGUUGGCCUAGUUUGCCUUGCUUCCGUUUGACAGAUACUUCAAUACUGUUGGACUCGCAAGAACAAAGCAUUUACGAGGUCCGUGAGAGUGAUAUUGUCGAACGGCUUUGUAAGGUACUUAUGAUGAUGAAGACUCGAACUGUGCCGCUGCAGUCCCUUCAUCCUUUGAAAUGGGAUCUGGGUUUACCGGAUUGUUUUGAGAAAACACUGGUUCCAAAAUAUCCAGAUCAUUUUCGAUUUGUGAAGGCCUCAAAUGGAGUCACCUGCCUGCGACUAGCAAAUUGGUGUGAGGAAUUUGCAGUUUCAGCAUUACAGAAGAACAAUGAAAGCAGUACAUCUGGGGAUGAGUACAGGCAAUUCAAGAGAGGGCAGGCAGCUCUGGUUUUCCCCAUGAAUUUCCCAAGGGGGUAUGGAGCGCAGAAGAAAGUAAGGGCAUGGAUGGAGGAAUUCCAAAAAUUGCCUUACAUUUCUCCUUACGAGGACUCUAGACAAAUUGAUCCAAAUAGUGAAUUGAUGGAGAAACGAGUGGUUGGAGUUCUGCAUGAAUUCCUAAGUUUAACCAUGCACAAGAAAACAAAGAGGAACUACUUGAGGAGCUUGAGGGAGGAGUUGAAUCUUCCCCACAAGUUUACUCGAAUCUUCACAAGAUAUCCUGGCAUAUUUUACCUCUCAUUGAAAUGUAAAACAACGACCGUUACUCUUAGAGAAGGGUAUCAGCGUGGAAAACUAGUAGAUCCGCAUCCUAUUGCUCGGCUUAGAGAGAAGUUUUAUCAUGUGAUGAGGACGGGGCUUCUUCAUCGUGGUAAAGGUGCAAACUUUAUGGAUCAAGAAGACUUAUUACUAAAUGAUACAAUGGAUGAAAUAGGGCUGGGAGAAUCUGAGGAGGGAGGGUCUGGAACAGGUGAUGAAUUCUAUGAAGUUGAAGAUUCAGAUCUAGAUGGAGCAUCUGAUGGAGAGUAGUGUUCAUAUGACAGAAGUAGCAUUACAGCCACUUACAAGUAAGAAAGAAAAUAAUUUGCUCUCCCCUAGCGUAGCUUUAUUACAAUAUAAUACACUUUUGAUUAUUCUCUCAUCAAAUAUCCAAGCUUGGAUGAGUCUACUGGUUAUAUUAUUUGAUUUGUCUUGCCAGUGCAACCAUGACAUAUUCUUUAACAAUUGCUGUUUUAUACUUUCUUUCCUUCUUUCAUGUUCUUACUUCCCUAAAGGGAUAGUGGGAUGUGCUAUUAAUCUUAUAGGAGGGAGAAUUAAAGGACUGUAAUACUGCAUGCUUUGAUUCUGCUUUUGUUCCACAGAUGCUUCGAUUAUUAAGGGGGAUAUUCUCCAACAUUUGUUAAUUAUGCUUUGUUGAGAUGCUAGAUAUCUGGAAAAUAAGUUUCGUAUUAAAAAACAUAAUUUGCAGUUUUAAAUGAUUUUCCACCUUGUUUCCUAUAAUGUGAGUAAGUGGGACACUAAGAUCUGGUAAGUUAACAUCUAGGAAUUAUAAAGAUCUUGUAAAAAAACAGCGGUGCUCGGACAUGGGAAAUGUUUGUCUGCUUUAGGUUGACACAUAAUUAGAUGUGAAAUUCAACAAAAUUACCCCGGCCGAAAUUUGUUGUCCUGUUAGGAUUGUCAUCAGUUCUCCAGAUGACCACAGUGAUGCUGAUUAGUUUGUAUGCAGCGAAUUCUUCUCAUCAGUUACCAGUACCACCUUUGAACAUAAUUUGCUUGCAUUUUCAAAUCGCUUGCAGAUAUUGAUUUUUAUUACUGUCUGCACCAUUUCUGUUAAAGGCUGUUGGGUGUAGACGGGUAAUAGUCUGAGGAUUACAUAUAAUGAUCUAAAUGACAUUCUGGUGAAAUUUGAGCCUGAAAAAUUGGGACAAGUCAACUUGGUUAAGUUGCCUAUAGAUGUGGUUCUGCCCUAGUUUGACGAAUCUAGGUUCUCUGAAGUUCAGAAUGGUGAAAAUGGAUGAAGUUUAUCAGAUUAAGAGAGAGAGAGAGAGAGAGAGAGAGAGAGAGAGAGAAGGUAAAAGUAAGCUAUUUAUUCUCCCUCGUUUUUAAUUUAGAAGACUUAACUCAAAUUCACCAUUCUGAACUUUAUAAGAUCCAUUUGACACAUAAAAGGUGAAGUGGAGCCGUAAGAACUAAUGCAGUUAUUGCCCAUUUGUGCAGUGUGAAUAAAAAAUUAGUGUAUUUAGCAAUAUUCUUUCUUGUCUGGGACUAACAUAUUGAGUUUCAUGAGCACGUUUGGAGAUCACUCAAACAAUUGAAGCUUGAAUGCCUCAUGAAUCGUCAGCCUCGUUUGUCUGCUAUGUCUACUGAUAACAUCAUAGCUGUUGACGAUGGUGGGUUCGUUUGGGGUUAUAUCUCCUGUUUGGAGAAUUAUCGUACGCUGCCUGCAGGAGCAGGUGCCCGAACCUCGGCCAUGUCCUCCAUACCUCAGAUUGCAUACUGAUAGAUGAGCACCUGAGCCUACCGAGAAGGAUUGUUGUGACCAUCGACAAUUCGACAUGAUAGUGUGAAAAAGAAGCUAGUGUCGACAAAUGUCACAAAUUCUCUUAUGAAGUGGCAAAUUGCCUUGACCAUGAUAUUUAAUCGAUGAAGCUAGCGGCAUGUUUUGCAUGAUGAAAAAAAAAAUUGAAGGAAUGGAUAGCGGAACGGAAAACGGAAUGAAAUGGUAGUUGGCAUUAAAAAUAUGAACAUUAUAAGCUCUUAAAGGAUAUAGAGAGAUACCGUUGAAGUAAAUGUCGCAUAUGCCUAUGAUGAGGAAGAAGUGAGAGAUGGCUCUGUAAUAAGGUGCUAAGUUUGAAACCAUGUUUCUGCGAAGAAGCAAAUGAUGAGAAUGUUAUCAUGGUUAAGAAAGAACAAAUACUAUGAUACUUUUUGUAUUAUUAUUUGUUGCAGCAGAGAAAGAUAAUCGGAGUAAUUUUACCUUGUCAAGAAAUUGGCUACAAGCGAUAUAGUCCCAACUGAAGGGAUCUGUGAACAUGAAAAUCAUACAGCAAAAGAUCACGAGAACAUUGGAAAACAACGGCAGGAAAGAAUAGGAAUGUUAAAGUGUAAAUAAUUUACCUAUUGCAAGUAUUGGAAAAUUUAUAGACCACAUUGUUUGUAGCACUCCUCGCUUUUUUAUCACUGUCAUAGAUAAGAUUUUUAGACCAUGCGUACGUCUAAUUUUUAAAGGAGUAAUGUAUAGACGGGUCUUGAAAAAUGUAAUUUUACAUUGAUGAUA